UACGAGGGGGGCUAGCGUUGCUCGGAAUCACUGGGCGUAAAGCGCACGUAGGCGGAUUGCUAAGUCAGGGGUGAAAUCCUGGAGCUCAACUCCAGAACUGCCUUUGAUACUGGCGAGCUUGAGUCCGGGAGAGGUGAGUGGAACUGCGAGUGUAGAGGUGAAAUUCGUAGAUAUUCGGAAGAACACCAGUGGCGAAGGUGGCUCACUGGCCCGGUACUGACGCUGAGGUGCGAAAGCGUGGGGAGCAAACAGG
rnacentral:rRNA from 1 species